ensembl:snoRNA SNORA70 Small nucleolar RNA SNORA70
AGGUUAAAUUUUUAACUAUUUCCUCUCUUUGUCCAUGGGGGCCCAGUGUGCCAUGGCUGCAAAUAGUAGCCUCCUUGGUAGUGUAUGCAGCCUGUUGAUUGUAUGGGUUGCCCUAAGAGACCUUGAAGACAGCC